rnacentral:rRNA from 1 species
AGCCUCACUCUAGCCCAGUCACCCCUUCCCCCAAAAAACUUACUCAAACAAACCAACUAAAACAUUCUCCUGUCUAAGUAUAGGCGAUAGAAAAGACGCCCGGAGCAAUAGACCCAAGUACCGCAAGGGAAAGAUGAAAUAACAAUGAAAACCUAAGCAACGAACAGCAAAGACUAACUCUUGUACCUCUUGCAUCAUGAUCUAGCAAGAACAACCAAGCAAAACGAACUUUAAGUUUGCCACCCCGAAACCCAAGCGAGCUACUCACAAGCAGCUAUCCAUGAGCAAACCCGUCUCUGUAGCAGAAGAGUGGGAAGACUUGUUAGUAGCGGUGAAAAGCCUACCGAGCUGGGUGAUAGCUGGUUGCCUGUGAAAAGAAUCUAAGUUCUCCCUUAAUUUUACGCCCAAAGAAGAAAAACUCAACCCACUCACCCGUACUAAAUUAAGAGCAAUUUAAAGGAGGUACAGCUCCUUUAAAAAAGAAUACAACCUCCCCCAUAGGAUAAGCACCCACUUCACCUGAUUGUAGGCCCUCAAGCAGCCACCAAUAAAGAAUGCGUCAAAGCUCUUUACCCCUAAAAAUCCAAAAACACACGCGACUCCCUCCCUCACAACAGGCUAAUCUAUCACAAAUAGAAGUAUUAAUGCUAGAAUAAGUAACUAAGGAACAGCCUUCUAAAGCACAAACUUACAUCACACAUUAUUAACAGACAUACUAAUACCCCAACCACUACAAGAUCAAGUAUUCAAUACAACACUGUUAAACCAACCCAGGAGUGCCCAAUUAGAAAGAUUUAAACCUGUAAAAGGAACUAGGCAAACCCAAGGCCCGACUGUUUACCAAAAACACAGCCUUUAGCUAAACCAAGUAUUAAAGGUGUCGCCUGCCCAGUGACACAUAGUUCAACGGCCGCGGUAUCCUAACCGUGCAAAGGUAGCGCAAUCAAUUGUCUCAUAAAUCGAGACUUGUAUGAAUGGCUAAACGAGGUCUUAACUGUCUCUUACAGGUAAUCAGUGAAAUUGAUCUCCCCGUGCAAAAGCGGGAAUAAACCCAUAAGACGAGAAGACCCUGUGGAACUUAAAAACCAGCGACCACUAUAAACCCAAUAUAAGACCUAAUAGGCACACUACCAGAAACAGCUGGCCCGCAUUUUUCGGUUGGGGCGACCUUGGAGAACAACAUAUCCUCCAAAAAUAAGACAACACCUCUUCACCGAGAUCAACCACUCAACGUACUAAUAGUAACCCGAUCCAGCAUAGCUGAUCAAUGAACCAAGCUACCCCAGGGAUAACAGCGCAAUCCCCUUCAAGAGCCCAUAUCGACAAGGGGGUUUACGACCUCGAUGUUGGAUCAGGACAUCCUAAUGGUGCAGCCGCUAUUAAGGGUUCGUUUGUUCAACGAUUAAUCAGUCCUACGUGAUCUGAGUUCAGACCGGAGCAAUCCAGGUCGGUUUCUAUCUAUGACAGACCUUUCCCAGUACGAAAGGACCGGAAAAGUAAGGCCAAUGCUCCAAGUACGCCUUCCCAGAAAGUAAUGAACAAAUCUAAAUUACCAAAAGGACCCCCAUUACAAUCCUAAACAAGGACA